AACGAACGCUGGCGGCAGGCUUAACACAUGCAAGUCGAACGCCCCGCAAGGGGAGUGGCCGACGGGUGAGUAACGCGUGGGAACAUACCCUUUUCUACGGAAUAGCUCUGGGAAACUGGAAUUAAUACCGUAUACGCCCUACGGGGGAAAGAUUUAUCGGGGAAGGAUUGGCCCGCGUUGGAUUAGCUAGUUGGUGGGGUAAAGGCCUACCAAGGCGACGAUCCAUAGCUGGUCUGAGAGGAUGAUCAGCCUCAUUGGGACUGAGACACGGCCCAAACUCCUACGGGAGGCAGCAGUGGGGAAUAUUGGACAAUGGGCGCAAGCCUGAUCCAGCCAUGCCGCGUGAGUGAUGAAGGCCUUAGGGUUGUAAAGCUCUUUCACCGAUGAAGAUAAUGACGGUAGUCGGAGAAGAAGCCCCGGCUAACUUCGUG
rnacentral:rRNA from 1 species